AGCGGAUGGGGGCCGGCGAUGCGUC
rnacentral:snRNA from 1 species